rnacentral:rRNA from 1 species
UACGUAGGGGGCAAGCGUUAUCCGGAAUUACUGGGCGUAAAGCGAGCGCAGGUGGUUUAUUAAGUCUGGUGUAAAAGGCAGUGGCUCAACCAUUGUAUGCAUUGGAAACUGGUAGACUUGAGUGCAGGAGAGGAGAGUGGAAUUCCAUGUGUAGCGGUGAAAUGCGUAGAUAUAUGGAGGAACACCGGUGGCGAAAGCGGCUCUCUGGCCUGUAACUGACACUGAGGCUCGAAAGCGUGGGGAGCAAACAGG